rnacentral:lncRNA from 1 species
AUUGAGACCUCAUCAAUAUGCAUGAUUUUUAUAUUUGUUUAAGGUUGUGGACGUCACAUAGAAGUUGUUUUAGAAGAUGUACCAGUACAUGAAAGAUGUUCUUGUCCAAAGAAAAAGGCAUGUGCAAUAUCAUGACAGAGGUAACAACAUCUUUAUCUAUAGACUAUAAGGUUUGAAAUAAACCCUUUAAAUGGCAGGCAGGGUUAGUGGUUAGAAGGAGGCACAGAAAGACUUAAAAUUGAAAUGCUUCUCCAUAUUUUAUCCUCAGCCUCUUACAAAGUAAUAAUUAUUCUUUAUGAUAUAUGUACAAGUUAUCUUUGUAUUCUAUGAAAACCUGAAACAUGUCAAGUAGCAUGUAGUUUGCAAGAUUCUGAUAUAGUUUAAAACUAAAACUAAAGAUUUCUAUAUCCAUGAUGUAGGACCCGUUCAUAAAUUUAAAGAAAAUAGACAACAGGUACCCGUACCCUUUUCUUUUCUAUAGCAGUUUAAACCUGUGCUAGCAACAGUCUUAAAUUUCCAGUGAGGUGAAAGUUUUUUUAACCGGAUUUUUGUGACAAAAAUGUCGGUUAUUGAUUUGGGGAUGUACGGCGGGCGGGCGGCAAUCAAAUGUUGUCCGUGCAUUAACUCAUGAACCGUUCAACCAAAGCUUUUAAAAUUUUAAUAUGUUGUUACUGACAACUAAAUGAAGGUCAAGUUCAAUAAUGGCGAUUUUGACUUUUACCGUUCAGGAGUUAUGGUUCUUGAAAGAUUGAAAAAUGGAGUUUCCAGUCGUGUCUGUGCAUUUACGCAUGAACUGUUCUACCAAAGCUUCCCAAAUUUUAAUAUGUUGUUACUGAUGACAAAAUGGAGGUCAAGUUCAAUAAUGACGAUUUUGACUUUUACGGUUCAGGAGUUAUGGUUCUUGAAAGAUUGAAAAAUGGAGUUUUCAGUCGUGUCCGUACAUUUACGCAUGAACUGUUCUACCAAAGCUUCCCAAAUUUUAAUAUAUUGUUACUGAUGACAAAAUGGAGGUCAAGUUCAAUAAUGACGAUUUUGACUUUUACCGUUCAGGAGUGAUGGUUCUUGAAAGAUUGAAAAAUGGUGUUUCCAGUCGUGUCCGUGCAUUUUCUCAUAAACCAUUCAACCAAAGCUUUUGAAAUUUUUAUAUGUUGUUACUGAUGACAAAAUAGAGGUCAAGUUCAAUAAUGACGAUUUUGACUUUUACCGUUCAGGAGUUAUGGUUCUUGAAAGAUCGUAAAAUGGCGUUUCCAUUCACGUUGUUGCAUUUACUAAGGCAGCAACCAUUUGAUUUUCUGGGGGGGGGCUAUGGUUUUUUUUGGAAAAAAAAGUUUGUUUCCAGUUUUUGGAGAAAAAAAUAAUUUGUUUUUCAUUCUGAGAAAAAAAAAUUGUUUGUUUCACCCUCAGCUGCCACUAUAUGUAAUGCUAAAAUUGAAAGAAAAAAAUUGUUUUCGACUUGUCGCAAAAAAAAUAGAUUGUUUUUCGCCGCAGGCGAAAAAAAAGUUUGUACAGAAAAAAAAACCAUAGCCCCCCCCCCCCCAGAAAAUCAAAUGGUUGCUGCCUAAUGAACCAUUCAAUCUAAGCUUUUCAAAUUUUAAUAUGUUGAUACUGACUACAAAAUGGAGGUCAAAUUUGAUAUUGACGAUUUUCACUUUCAGCAUUCAUUAGUUAUAGUUCUUGUGAUAUUGCCAGGACACAAAUAAAUGUUAAUAAAUCCGGUUUGCUGUCGUUGUGACAGCUCUUGUUUUUGUUUAGUGUUGAGGGCCUCACUUUGACUUUGAGAUGAAGAACAGCAAUUAAAGCACUGUUCCUGUGCAUUUUUUUGUUUUUUUUUUGCUGUUGAUGUACUCAUUUAGUGUCCUGGAUAUAUACCCUAUAUUCUCUGAAAUUCUAUUAAUUGUUUGUAGCUUGAGAAGUAAUUUAUUACACCUUUUUCAGAAGUGUUCAUAGAUGUAUUUCUGUUUGCCUGGGCUAGGCUAGAGUGUUUUCACUCAACAAAUAUUACCAGGUAUCAAUGAGACUUGUUUGGCGACUAUUCUUUCACAAAGGCUUAUAUUUUAAGAAUUAUCAAUUUAUGAUUGGGCUAAUAUCUUCUUGAUGUUUUUACAUAGCUUCAUUUUGAGAUUGACAAUAAAGUUUUAUAUAAGAUGUUUUAACAAAUAUUUACAUGUUAAUUGGGAAAAUUGAUGCUCACAUUUAAUUUUAUCAAAACCUAUGUGAAACAAGACCCUGUUUUACAUAAAACAAUUAGUUACAUAUGUCAAUUUUGACAAGGAAAUGAUUAGAAAUUGACAUUCCAAUUAUAAAAGUUAUUUCUCCAUUAAUGGGACCAUACUAUAUCAUCCUAUGCAUUUAUCUUCAAGGGUAAACAAUCACAAACAAAGGAAGAUAACUCAAAUUUUAACUUGUCUAUCAAAAUACAAUGCAAUGUUUUUAUUAAAAAUUUUACAAAAUUGCAAAAUGAAAGCAAUCUUUACCCUCAGUGCUUCGAUUAAUUUAUUUUAUCAUCCCUGUUUUCUCAUUAAAGUCAUAUGAAACGAGUGACUGGUGAAAAAUAAUGUUUAUACAAUUCUUGAACCAAUGCAUUUAUAUAUGAUAAACUUUGUCUUUUGUGCACGAUUUAAUCAUUUUUUGCGCAAACACGAUUUUUUUUCUCUCUCUGUCUGUUAUUAUGUGAAAACAUGGCAGGUAAUUAAUUAUUGUGUUUUGAAACUGUAAUUUACCGAUUGUCACCUUAUAGUAAACAAUCAACAAAAGAAGCAUGGAUAUUGAGCACAUGAAUAACAUGUAUAAUCAGAUAAUAAUUUAUUUUAAUGACAGACCCAUGGGUACUGCAAUCACCGGAUUCUUACGAGAAGGGUCACGCUAAGGUCACUUGCAUAUACGGAAAAUAUGUCGGCGAAUUGCUUCCUUGGAAGCAAGCAAUUGAAAUAAGUAAACUUCUUCUAAAUGUGGACAAUUUUCUGAAGAAUUUUCUCCAGAAAAAAGUAUAUGUACAUAAGUUUUAUAAUGGAAACUAUCCAUUUAGUUAUAAAAAACAUAUGCAUCAUUUUUUUUUUUAAUUUGAGGUUUCAUAUGACUUUAAGAUGCUUAUUCACUGAUUUGUAUUUUUGUAGGCUACAUCUGUGAAGAUGAUGUAAAUAUUUAGAAGAGUAAUGUGAAUCUCAGAACAUGCAGC